rnacentral:lncRNA from 1 species
AAGUUUCCAGCAGCAGUUGGACAGCUCCAAAGAUGUCUCCACAAAGCCCGAAGAAUGAAAAGCCUGAGAAAAUUGGAAAUAUUGGGCUUGGGCUGACACGGCCCGUGUCAGCCUACUGUUUCUCCUGACAUGCCCAUGGAAAACCUAACACGGGGGGGUAUCUGCCUGACACGGCCCGUGUCAGCUGACACAGGUGGCCGUGUCAGGCUACUGUUUUCCUUAUUCUGCUUCCCUUGCCCUGACACGGCCCGUGUCAGGUGACACGGGCCGCCGUGUCAGGCCUCCUGUACCGGUGUUUUCUGACACAGGUGGCCGUGUCAGGCUACUGUUUUCCUUAUUCUGCUUCCCUUGCCCUGACACGGCCCGUGUCAGGUGACACGGGCCGCCGUGUCAGGCCUCCUGUACCGGUGUUUUCUGCUCUUUUGCGUGCCGGACUCUCGCACUGACGUGUUCUGAGUUCUCCGGUUCUUCUACCUGGAUCUGUCGGACAAAAACACAGCUAUCCCACGCAUAAAAUCAAGAUAAACAAAG